rnacentral:rRNA from 1 species
CCUACGGGAGGCAGCAGUCGAGAAUCAUUCACAAUGGGGGAAACCCUGAUGGUGCGACGCCGCGUGGGGGAAUGAAGGUCUUCGGAUUGUAAACCCCUGUCAUGUGGGAGCAAAUUAAAAAGAUAGUACCACAAGAGGAAGAGACGGCUAACUCUGUGCCAGCAGCCGCGGUAAUACAGAGGUCUCAAGCGUUGUUCGGAAUCACUGGGCGUAAAGCGUGCGUAGGCUGUUUCGUAAGUCGUGUGUGAAAGGCGCGGGCUCAACCCGCGGACGGCACAUGAUACUGCGAGACUAGAGUAAGGGAGGGGGAACCGGAAUUCUCGGUGUAGCAGUGAAAUGCGUAGAUAUCGAGAGGAACACUCGUGGCGAAGGUGGGUUCCUGGACAUUAACUGACGCUGAGGCACGAAGGCCAGGGGAGCGAAAGGGAUUAGAUACCCCAGUAGUC